rnacentral:rRNA from 1 species
CUUUUGCCAGUUCUAAAAAUACUAGUGAAUAAGGGGUGGGCAAGUUCUGGUGUCAGCCGCCGCGGUAAAACCAGCACCUCAAGUGGUCAGGAGGAUUAUUGGGCCUAAAGCAUCCGUAGCCUGCUCUGUAAGUUUUCGGUUAAAUCUAUAUGCUCAACAUAUAGGCUGCUGAAAAUACUGCAGUGCUAGGAAGUGGGAGAGGUAGACGGUACUUGAUAGGAAGGGGUAAAAUCCUUUGAUCUAUCGAUGACCACCUGUGGCGAAGGCGGUCUACCAGAACACGUUCGACGGUGAGGGAUGAAAGCUGGGGGAGCAAACCGGAUUAGAUACCCGGGUAGUCCCAGCUGUAAACGAUGCAGACUCGAUGAUGCAUUGGCAUAUAGCCAGUGCAGUGUCGCAGGGAAGCCGUUAAGUCUGCCGCCUGGGAAGUACGUACGCAAGUAUGAAACUUAAAGGAA